rnacentral:rRNA from 1 species
GAUGAACGCUGGCGGCGUGCCUAAUACAUGCAAGUCGAGCGAACAGACGAGGAGCUUGCUCCUCUGACGUUAGCGGCGGACGGGUGAGUAACACGUGGAUAACCUACCUAUAAGACUGGGAUAACUUCGGGAAACCGGAGCUAAUACCGGAUAAUAUAUUGAACCGCAUGGUUCAAUAGUGAAAGACGGUUUUGCUGUCACUUAUAGAUGGAUCCGCGCCGCAUUAGCUAGUUGGUAAGGUAACGGCUUACCAAGGCAACGAUGCGUAGCCGACCUGAGAGGGGGAGAGGCCAAACGAGAGGUGAGACACGGACCGGACCCCGGAGGGAGGCAACAGUCGGGAAUCUUCCGCAAGGGGGGAAGGCUGGACGGAGCAACGCGGCGGGAGGGAUGAAGGUCUUCGGAUCGUAAAACUCUGUUAUGAGGGAAGAACAAAUGUGUAAGUAACUAUGCACGUAUUGACGGUACCUAGUCAAAAAGCCACGGCUAACUACGUG